rnacentral:rRNA from 1 species
UACGGGGGGAGCAAGCGUUGUUCGGAUUUACUGGGCGUAAAGGGCGCGUAGGCGGCGCAACAAGUCACUUGUGAAAUCUCCGGGCUUAACCCGGAGCGGCCAAGUGAUACUGUCGUGCUAGAGUGCGGAAGGGGCUACUGGAAUUCUCGGUGUAGCGGUGAAAUGCGUAGAUAUCGGGAGGAACACCUGUGGCGAAGGCGACCCCCUGGUUGGAUACUGACGCUGAGACGCGAAAGCGUGGGGAGCAAACAGG